GUGGGCAUAGUAUAGUGGUCAGUACAAAGCUUUGUGGCAGCUUAGACCCCGGUUCGAUUCCGGGUGCCCACA